ACCAGACUCCUACGGGAGGCAGCAGUGGGGAAUAUUGCACAAUGGGGGAAACCCUGAUGCAGCAACGCCGCGUGAGUGAGGAAGUAUUUCGGUAUGUAAAGCUCUAUCAGCAGGGAAUAGAAAAGAAGGUACCUGAAAAAGAAGCCCCGGCUAACUACGUGCCAGCAGCCGCGGUAAUACGUAGGGGGCGAGCGUUGUCCGGAAUCACUGGGCGUAAAGGGCGCGUAGGCGGUAAUAUAAGUCAGAUGUGAAAGGUGGGGGCUCAACCCCUAGAGUGCAACUGAUACUGUAUAACUUGAGUGUGAGAGAGGGAAGCGGAAUUCCUAGUGUAGCGGUAAAAUGCGUAGAUAUUAGGAGGAACACCAGUGGCGAAGGCGGCUUUCUGGCUCAUAACUGACGCUGAGGCGCGAAAGCGUGGGGAGCAAACAGGAUUAGAUACCCGCGUA
rnacentral:rRNA from 1 species